rnacentral:rRNA from 1 species
AGGAGUGGAGCCUGCGGCUUAAUUUGACUCAACACGGGAAACCUCACCAGGCCCGGACACCGGAAGGAUUGACAGAUUGAGAGCUCUUUCUUGAUUCGGUGGGUGGUGGUGCAUGGCCGUUCUUAGUUGGUGGAGCGAUUUGUCUGGUUAAUUCCGAUAACGAACGAGACUCUAGCCUGCUAACUAGGCGUACUUUCGACAUCUCAAAGGUCCGCCGUCCCGGCGCGCGCCGCGGUCGCGCGCGAUUUUUACUGUCGGCGUACAAUUAAUUCUUCUUAGAGGGACAGGCGGCUUCUAGCCGCACGAGAUUGAGCAAUAACAGGUCUGUGAUGCCCUUAGAUGUUCUGGGCCG